rnacentral:tRNA from 1 species
GGAGUUAUACUUUAUUUAAGAAGAACUAGUUUGCAUCUAGACAGAAGGUAACGCAUCUAUAAGACCUACCUUUUCUCCA